UACGUAGGGGGCAAGCGUUGUCCGGAAUCAUUGGGCGUAAAGAGCGCGUCGGCGGCCCUGUAAGUCCGCUGUGAAAGUCAAGGGCUCAACCCUUGGAUGCCGGUGGAUACUGCAGGGCUAGAGUCCGGAAGAGGCGAGUGGAAUUCCUGGUGUAGCGGUGGAAUGCGCAGAUAUCAGGAGGAACACCGAUGGCGAAGGCAGGUCUCUGGGCCGCAACUGACGCUGAGGAGCGAAAGCAUGGGGAGCGAACAGG
rnacentral:rRNA from 1 species